rnacentral:rRNA from 1 species
GACGUAGGGCGCGAGCGUUGUCCGGAAUUAUUGGGCGUAAAGAGCUCGUAGGCGGCUUGUUGCGUCGACUGUGAAAGCCCGUGGCUUAACCGCGUGGUCUGCAGUCGAUACGGGCAGGCUAGAGUUCGGUAGGGGAGACUGGAAUUCCUGGUGUAGCGGUGAAAUGCGCAGAUAUCAGGAGGAACACCGGUGGCGAAGGCGGGUCUCUGGGCCGUAACUGACGCUGAGGAGCGAAAGCGUGGGGAGCGAACGGG